rnacentral:misc_RNA from 1 species
UUUCCGUAGGUGAACCUGCGGAAGGAUCAUUACUGAGUGAGGGCCCUCUGGGUCCAACCUCCCACCCGUGUUUAUUGUACCUUGUUGCUUCGGUGAGCCCGCCUCACGGCCGCCGGGGGGCAUCUGCCCCCGGGCCCGCGCUCGGCGAAGGCACCCUUGAACUCUGUCUGAAGUUUGCAGUCUGAGCGAAAACUAAAUAAGUUAAAACUUUCAACAACGGAUCUCUUGGUUCCG